GAAAAACCAGUCCGAUUUGGUUUUUAUGUCAGAGAAAUGGUGCAGAGGUUAUAUUGUACUAGUCAAGUAUUAGAUGAUACAACAAACAAGGGAAAUAAAUAUUCAUAUAUAUAUUAUGACCUAGUAGCUUGUAUAGGUCAGAUGUUUGAGACAAGACACUGAAAGUCCAACAAAUAAUCCAUUUAAGAUGCCUACAUGUAGACAAUUUACAUUAAUUACAUACAACAUUAUGCAAUAUCCAAAACAUGUAGCAGUCACACAAUGCACUAGGAUAAUUGAUAUUUUAACAAUGUGAAUUCAAUUCUACACAGUAAAUACAUAUUUACCCAGCCUAACAGGAGUUAAUGAAAGAUGCCAAUCAAAGGAAAGUUCUCUAGGGCUACCAAUAUCGGCCUUUAAGCAUGUUUUUUUUUUUACAGAUGAUGGAAACAUUUUCUAUCUGUCUAAAAUGUAUAACUAUCCAAACUUAUAUUGGACAGAUGUCAGUAAUUGGUCGGAAUGAAAACAGAAAGAUCCCCAAAGGACCAAUGUCUGACCAAUAUAAAAAUAUUAACCACGUCAAUUUAUUUCAGCGACAGCAUUGUUCUUUGUGUGGAAAAAAACCUCAUGUUUUUAUGUCUUCCGUUUAUUUCCUGGCUGCAUGAAUAAAAAAAUGUUUAAAAAAAUAAAAGAUAUAAAAUCUGCCCAAAAGAGGUGAAUGUGAGGCGACAGGAUAAAUAGAACUUGAUCAAGUACAAUGUUGGGAUCAUUGUCCAAUGUAGUCGCUGUUUAAUAAAUAACACUAUGUAAUAAUGAAUUAUUUUAAAAAAAAUAAACAUGUUAUUUUUCCAUAAUAAAGAAAUUCUCCACGCCUAUAAAUAUUCUACUUUGGGUUAUGAUGUGCAAAAUGAGGUUUUAAUGUAUAAAAUAACCCUGGGGAAAGCCAGCGAGGCGAUGCAAUACUUCAGUUUAGUGUCAUCAUAAUAUGUUUUUAUUUAUGCGUUGCGCUAAAAUUAGUUUUUAACACAUAACCACAACAAACCUGUCGUUUUGGGGGAUUUUCUCAAACAUGUUUUAGGAAGCGUGGUAACUUGUAAUUAUGUGUGUAUGGAGAAUAUAUGUAAAUAUUUAUGUCCUGACCAAAGUUGGGUGUAAGAUCAAAAGUUAGGUCGAACUCGAAUAUGAAGAGGGAAAAACAAAGCAUAUUGGUUUUGAACAAAAAAUGGCAUUUAUUCAAAAUGCCAUAAAAUACACAAUAUAACGAUUAUAUACAUAACCUAACAUUCUACUUGUAAUACAAAUGACCCGAUUAACAUAACUGGGUGGCAAAACAUGCCAAAAGAAGAAACCGCCGCCCAGUAUAUUUUAAUAAAAAUAUGUACAUGGAUAAAGUUUUAAGCCAGCACUGUUGCAUGAAAACAGUGAAUGCGGUAGAAAAAAAUGCACAGAUUUUUUAUUACCUAUUUGUAUGUGUAUUGGAAAUAGCGGAAUUCAAAAAGAAAGGAAUAUGAAUAGAAAUUACAAAAAUAACUGAGGGGCAGCGUAGCAGUGUAUUAGGGGAGGAUAGUGAGGUCUUUGUGUUUUGGGGAUACUAAAAUAUUAAUAGAAGAGGAAGCAUAAAAUUGUAUAUAUUUGUUGUCAUAUUUUGGUGGUAAGGGUGUUAGUCGGUGGGUUCGAGGCAAAUGGAUAAUUAGAAACAAUAUGAGCUUUAACACGGUCGGUAAAUACUGGCUCUGCCUAUUUUUGGUGAGAGUGAGGUGAGUGGAAGAAAAAGCUAAUGAUACUUCCAAGGUGGCGCUAAGUAACAAAGAAAGACUACUUUCUGUAACAAUUAGGAGUCAUAUUUCAAUAAACGGGCAAUAUAGUUCCACCCAUAAUGACUGUAACUUACAUAUAAUUAAUUAUGAAGAUCGAUUUGCAGAGAUUUAGUGUGUUACGUUAGCGCUUUUGAGAGUAGUGAAAUAGAGCCUAUUCAAAACGAAAGUUGCAUUUUGGCCAUAUAUUCCGCCCCGAUUUGUAUUAACUUAGGAUUUCACAGAAAUAGUACCGGUUCGUUUGAAAAACAUACUUAAUUACUAAAUAAAUGAUGUGGUUUAUUGAUUGUUUUCAGUCGUCUAUGUACAUUUUUGACAUACGAGAUUGAGCCAAUGCCGCUCUGUAGGCGUUAAGAACGAGAGUUGGAGCCUAUGAGAUAUCUACCCCUUAGCAAGACCAAUCCUUAAGAAAGGAUUUUUGAUUAUAGGGACAGUAGUUAAAAAGGCAUUAUUAUAAAAUAUGCGGUUUGAUGAUUAUAGAGGCAGUUUAUAGUGAAGUGACAUCGAUGUCGGUGCGAGUACAUUGUAGCUCUCCUUAUUCUUUAAUUUGAGGGCUUAAAUUAUUUGAGCACAAUAACUGUAAAUAAGAAUAAUAUUUCGAUGAAACUUUGCUCAUAGGUAGCUUUCAAAGAUAGAAAGGCCCGGAUAUAUUAUGGCAGCUGGAGUUUAUUGUCAGGAUACGAGUUAUAAGACCCAGGGAAAUGCUACGCCUUUAAUAUCUUGAGCAGUGAAAUGGGUCCAAUCGCUAAGGUGACUAUGUCUGGACUAGCUGUCUUAGACUAGCUGACAAACUAUGUAGAAUGUCCUUUGUUAAAACGUAGAGGUAGUGAGGUCUAUAUAUCUCAUAUAUAAUAUUUUUCUUUGGCUGCCUUGCCUAAAUGAUUCGUGUAACAAUGAUUCGUAAAUGAUUUCAAUUAUGAGCUAGAUAAUUUCAGGGAUCAGUACGGAAUCCUGUUCGUGCCACUUAAAUUGUCGCCUCGCCAACACGCGACAACGCGAUAAUUAUCGCGUUUUCGCCCUGUCCAAAAACAUAUGUACAUGCGACAUUUAACAAUCCUCGCGAGGUUAAGAGGGCGAUAAUUAUCGUCUUAAUUGUCGCAUGUCUUUCUUAAUUCUCGCGUCGUGAAAUUGAAAUCCAGUAUACAUAGUUGUGAGAAUUAGUAAAACCUCGCAUUGUCGCAUUGUCGCCCGGUGUAGGGGGAUAAUUUCUUACUACAUCGCCGUGGUAUUGAUAAAUAGUACCCAGGAAGAAUUACAUCGAUCAAUUUGUCCGGAAAUUUAAUCCCAAGCGACAGUGAGUUGAGGUCAAAAUGAAUUUAAUUCAGAUUGAGACACAUUGUCACCAAACUUGAUGUAAGGCUAACGUUUAUCAGGACCUACCUUAGGAAUGUAUGUCAGGUCGCUAAGUAAAACUAAAGGUAUGUGACAUGAAAUACAGCGUCCCAUGAAUGUACUCCAACAAUAGUACUAUUUAGGCUAUCAUCAGUACCCAGGUUGUAGACGCUGGCAGCAUAUUCUGGAUUCCUGGGACACUUGGACGAUGCCCACAGUUCAACCUAAGGACACAAAUGUGUGGGCCAUAAUCACCGUUUCCAGAGGACUGUGUUCUCUUUGGAGACAAGAUUUAUCCCAACAAACAUUCGCCUAUGACGCCGUUCACAUCGGCACAGUUAGGACGACAAAAUGACCGAGAGCGUAGGAAGCGUGCCAAAUUCAACAAUCUUGUACAAAAGUGUCAAGCAACAAUUGAACAUUCAAUAUAGCAGAAAUGAAAUGCUACAAAGCUGUUACUCAGUAUCGUGGAAGCAGAGGAAAACACUGCCAAGAGUUAUAAAGAUAUGCUGUGCCUUGAUAAUUAGGCGGAAACAUUUAAAGUUAUUUGAUGUUUUAAAAAACUAAAACGAAUCCCUGUGGUUUUUGAAAUGGUUUUGUUUUGAGAAAUGCCCCAUAUUAUGACCAUAGUACAUACUACGUCUACAUUGUCCGUGUCCGCUGUAAAGGUUUAAAAUAAUUUCAUUUAUUUGAUUUAAAACGUGGAGUAUCGCACACAUGAUAUUUAUUGUUUACAUAUUUUGAAAAAUUCGGCGCGAGCAUCGGAAAUGACCUUCCUAUUAUUGAUUAUCGUUACGCUACGGUUGGUUGGCAAUAGAUUAUCGUCAUGCAUCUAUUUUUAAAUGUUGGGAAAUCACCUUCCUGUAUUAAGUGGAGUGGUCCAUUACAUAAGCGGAUGUGCAGCCUUAUAAAAAGCGUUUGCCUCAUACGUCUCAAUCAUAUUGUUUAAACAAACGUUGACAACUCAUCGAAAGAAGAACAAUAAGCUGAAGAUAUCUAUUGUCAUGCAAACUAGAGCCAUCGCUUACUUACUGAUAAGCCUUAUAGUCCUACAAAUGAUGUUAGAAACUGCUGGUCGGCCACAUAUGAACUGUUGCAGGUUUAGAAGAUGUCCACGAGGAAGAAGCUGCGUUAAUAUUGGUUCUCGAUGUCGUUGCAAGAGCAAUCGGGUUAUUUCGACUUUUUCGUUAUGCUUAAAGGACCUGCGAAAAACACAGACAUAAACACAGGUACUAGAACUGAACUGUCAGACCAGACUAGUGAUAUCGGUCGUUUCAACUGUGAUAAUUAAUUUAUAUAUACUGUGAUGUAAUCUCGUCGCGCCAUUAUUGGAGGCAAUAUGCUCUGGUCUCGUCACACUUCAAGUCUUGUACGGUACCUUUAGACUGCGAUGUGAAAAGAGUUCACUGAGAUACGAGCUCUGCUCGUAUGAUAUUUACAUGAACUGAGAUGUGACCUCUACAUAUAUGGAUGGAUUCCGACUUCUGCACCCUUUGCGAUAUGAUAAAAAGAUUGUUUUGCUGUGGUUAGACAACAGAAUUCCGCACGGCAUAUGAACUGUACGUGUUGCGAAAUGAACUAUUCUGUCCGGAAGUUCUCUACUGUUGUAUGUGCACUGCAUACUGUAACGUGAAAAAAAAACACGAAAUGCGAUGUACGAACUCAAAACACAAGUAAGAUGUGAAUUCAUCAAAAUGCAAUAUUUAAUAUCAAUUCUAGUCAUUCGGAUAGUGAUAUACCUGCCAUUGCGGUACAUCCUCUAGUCUUUAGUACAGUAACUGUGACAUUUAACUGCUUUUACUUACUGAAACAUUUUACAUAUCUUUUAAAUGAAAAUAUUUGUAAUUAUAUGAAUGCAUAUGUUUUACAUUUUACUUAUUGUUGUGUGUAUUACAUUAAUAUACAGCUGGUCAGUAUAUUUUAUUUUUAAAUCUAUCUCAUUAUAUUUUAUUGUGUCAAAUUUGUUUUACAUAGUUUCGUCAGGUUUUAUGGUAUUUUAUUUUAGUAAAAAUUUAAACUUUA